rnacentral:rRNA from 1 species
GGCAUCGAUGGAUAGGGGUUCUGAGAGGAAGGUCCCCCACAUUGGAACUGAGACACGGUCCAAACUCCUACGGGAGGCAGCAGUGAGGAAUAUUGGUCAAUGGGCGCUAGCCUGAACCAGCCAAGUAGCGUGAAGGAUGACUGCCCUAUGGGUUGUAAACUUCUUUUAUAUGGGAAUAAAGUGCAGUAUGUAUACUGCUUUGCAUGUACCUUAUGAAUAAGGAUCGGCUAACUCCGUGCCAGCAGCCGCGGUAAUACGGAGGAUCCGAGCGUUAUCCGGAUUUAUUGGGUUUAAAGGGAGCGUAGGCGGGUUGUUAAGUCAGUUGUGAAAGUUUGCGGCUCAACCGUAAAAUUGCAGUUGAUACUGGCAUCCUUGAGUACAGUAGAGGUAGGCGGAAUUCGUGGUGUAGCGGUGAAAUGCUUAGAUAUCACGAAGAACUCCGAUUGCGAAGGCAGCCUGCUGGACUGUAACUGACGCUGAUGCUCGAAAGUGUGGGUAUCAAACAGGAUUAGACACCCUGGUAGUCCACACAGUAAACGAUGAAUACUCGCUGUUUGCGAUAUACAGUAA